UACGUAGGGGGCGAGCGUUGUCCGGAUUUAUUGGGCGUAAAGAGCUCGUAGGCGGCUUGUCGCGUCGACUGUGAAAUCCCGCGGCUCAACUGCGGGUCUGCAGUCGAUACGGGCAGGCUAGAGUUCGGUAGGGGAGACUGGAAUUCCUGGUGUAGCGGUGAAAUGCGCAGAUAUCAGGAGGAACACCCGUGGCGAAGGCGGCUCUCUGGGACGUGACUGACGCUGAGACGCGAAAGCGUGGGGAGCGAACAGGAUAGAAACCUGG
rnacentral:rRNA from 1 species